rnacentral:rRNA from 1 species
UACGUAGGGUCCGAGCGUUGUCCGGAAUUAUUGGGCGUAAAGGGCUCGUAGGCGGUUUGUCGCGUCGGGAGUGAAAACACGGGGCUUAACCCCGUGCCUGCUUCCGAUACGGGCAGACUAGAGGUAUGCAGGGGAGAACGGAAUUCCUGGUGUAGCGGUGAAAUGCGCAGAUAUCAGGAGGAACGCCGGUGGCGAAGGCGGUUCUCUGGGCAUUACCUGACGCUGAGGAGCGAAAGUGUGGGGAGCGAACAGG